rnacentral:sRNA from 1 species
UCCAUAGACUUGGAGAUCAAAUUCCUCAAUUUAUCCACAGAACAGAUACAGCACAGGCAUUAGAUGUGCAAGGUUUUCCCUUCCUUCCCACUAUAUGUCUCCACCUUGAGCUGUCUCAGCUUAAAAGAACUGCUGAAUCACCGUCAAUUAGAUAAUCUGUUUCA